rnacentral:rRNA from 2 species
GCGAAGAACCUUACCAGGUCUUGACAUCCUCUGACAAUCCUAGAGAUAGGACUUUCCCCUUCGGGGGACAGAGUGACAGGUGGUGCAUGGUUGUCGUCAGCUCGUGUCGUGAGAUGUUGGGUUAAGUCCCGCAACGAGCGCAACCCUUGAUCUUAGUUGCCAGCAUUYAGUUGGGCACUCUAAGGUGACUGCCGGUGACAAACCGGAGGAAGGUGGGGAUGACGUCAAAUCAUCAUGCCCCUUAUGACCUGGGCUACACACGUGCUACAAUGGAUGGUACAAAGGGCUGCAAGACCGCGAGGUUUAGCCAAUCCCAUAAAACCWUUMUCAGUUCGGAUUGUAGGCUGCAACUCGCCUACAUGAAGC